UCGAGUUUGUGAUGGAGAGGUAUGCUAAAUAAUUAUUUGUUGGAAGGCGAUCAUGGAAGCAUAACCAAAUAAAGUGCAACAGUUUUAGCGGCAUACGUAGUUUCCAGACCCAGGUGAAUAGAUUCAAGGUUGUAGAGGAAUUGAGGGAUUGAUAGCUGGACUUAAACCAAAAAUUUGGCAUCUUUAGUAAGGGUCCAAAUAAUUUUGUCAAAUCUCAGCGAGGCGUGCGGCAGGUAUAUACUACGGAUUUGUUGUAAAAUAUCAUCCGGUAGCUGAAAAGAUAAGUUGCUUAAUUGCCAGGAAGCAUUUGCGUUGUAAUUUUCUAUAG
rnacentral:lncRNA from 1 species